UGUGGAAUGGAUAAAAAAGACAGUAGUAAGCGAAGCGCAAAUUUUUCGAAAGAAGACGAAAGUUUACUUAUCGAUAUAAUAGCAGAAAAUAAAGAUGUCAUAGAGAAUAAGCAAUCUGGGGCUCAGCACUGGAAAGAUAAAGAAAAGGCAUGGGAAAAAGUGACCGAUUUGUUCAAUGCCAAUAGUACUAGUGGAGCCAGAUCUACAAAACCAUUGAGGGACAAAUAUAACAAUUUAAAGAAAAAAACUAAAGAAAAAAAUUCAAAAAUUAUUUUGAGCUUUAGAAAAACUGGUGGAGGAGAUAGCGAAGAAAAAGAGCUGAAUCCAGUAGAAGCAAAAGUUAAACAGUUAAUGGGUGUCCAAGUUGAAGGGCUUCCCAAGUAGUUAUGACUGUGAUAAUGAAAUAGUUCAUAACCCCCCUAGUAUUGAGGAAUAUAUGAUGGCAGAACAUGAACAGAUUUGUCCCAGGACCUUCGGGAAGUAAUCGACAAGAAGGCGUGGAGGAAAUAGAGACCGACUGGACUGCAUAUUGUCCAAAAAAACUCUCUCAACAAACUUCCAAAAAAUUAAGGGGGAAAAGUAGAUUUGGAGUUAACCAAGGAAAAAAGUUUAUUCUAAUCCUGUCAUUGAGGCGAAACUUGAGUUCAUCAAGCUGCAAAAACAAAAGUUUUUGGAAGAACAUCAGUUAAAAAUGGCGAUAUUGAAAACGGAGUUGAGAUUGAAGCAAAAACAAUUGCGUAAUUUUAAACAAUAAAACAAAAGUGGAGUCA